GUCAGUUUGGCCGAGUGGUCUAAGGCGGUAGAUUUAAGAAUCUAACAAAUCUCUACUGGGGCAACCCGCGUGAGUUCGAACCUCACAGCUGACA